ensembl:lncRNA
AUGCUGCCUCUGAUAUGUUGCAUGUUCUGGAUUUUCGCAACAGCAGAUGGAAACGCCAUCACCAAGGGUCUAGACAGCACAGUGAUCUUGCCCUGCACCAACACAUCGGGGGGCACACUCACUCAAGUGACAUGGAAAAUGAAUGGAGUUAACCUCUUUACGUUUAAACCACAGACACCCUUGCAUUUCUUUGAAGAAGCUAAAAGACUGAAGAUAAACAUGUCUCUGUCAGAGAAUGCACUGAUCAUAAAGAACGCCCAGAAGUUUCAUACAGGCAACUACACCUGUGAGAUCAACAGCAAGGCAGGAGUGUCUGAACAGACGUGGGAGGUGAUAAUAACAGAGCGUAAGGAAACUACAAACCAGAAUUGGACAGUGAUUGUCGUGGCAGCUGGUGUUUGUUCAGUGUGUUUCCUGAUCUUUAUAGCUGCUAUAAUCAUUUUCCAAAAAGUCAAACUGGUAAGGUAAGGUAAGUUGCUGUUUUGAUCAUGUAUAGCUGAUGACAUCACACUACUCCAAUAUGAAGGAAGUGUUGCUCUUCUUUACAGAAACAACCGGUCUACCACUGCAGCAAGGGUAAAUACAGAAAUUAUCAAUUGUUUGAAAAACUUGCAACUUACUGUAUAUAAGGAAUUCAGUGUUACCAAUUAAUAACAAAUAUUAUUAUUAAGGAUGCAACAUGUUCUGUAAAAAGCCUUGGCUGUCCUAUAAUAAUUGUCGGUUGUGGUGUAAAUCUUUUAAUGGUUGCAGUUUUUUAUUUUUUCCGCAGCAGGGACAAACAGAGGAAAUUUAUGAAAACUGCCUGGAAGUUGCUUAUAAUCAUCAGCAACACAGACAAUGUGCCACCCACCACCUAUAAACAGUGUAUAUAAUCAAUAAAUAUAUUCUAUUUAAUGAAGAACAUAAACUUUGCUGCAUUAUUUAUUUAUGUUUCCUCCCAGACGUCAAGGUAAAGCAGAAACAGCUGAUGUAGAUCUCACAUAGUUGUGGUAAAAGUGUGAAACACCAGGCCUCUUUCCAUGUUAAUCAGCUUUUUGUCUGUGUGGGUGGGCAUAGGUUGGUGGGGCUGGGCAGGGGUCUCGGCCCACACGGAAUAUUUGACUCUAAGUGUUGCCACAUGUUCCAUUAUGUAAACCAGCUAGUUGCUACCUAUUUCUGUCUUUUGCCUGAUGCUGAGCAGGUAAAACAACUGCUUCUUUACAACCUUUUCAUGCAGCUCAUUUCUUUAUGACAGGAGACAAAGGCAAUAGGUGAAAAACCACCACUCUGUGGCACAGUCAUGUGACAAUUUCCUUUACACACACAUUUUAGGUCAUGUAUUCACUUGAUCCACUCUUAACAUAAUGGUAGCUGGUGCAAGGAAUGUUUUGACAGAACAGUUUGAUGAACAUACUACAUGGGUAUGUCACGUGGAACAUACAGCAGCAGUUGUUUACCAUUGCACUUACAAACAUUUGAGGACUUUGCAAGAGACAGAUAAAAACGUCAGUCCAUAUCUAAGCAGCAAAGAUUCUCUCCUCUAAAACACUUAGCCCUAUCCUGCCACAUUUAUUGACACCCACACUUAACCGCCUGUUAGACCACAGCGCUACAGUAGCCACCGGAGGUUUCAACAACUGGCAGAACAAUUUAGCUAAAAAAAAUUCUAGCUUUACAAAAGCAAUGACUCAACUACAAUGAAUGACUUCUUCAGUAUACUUUGAUCAGUGUGGAGGAGUAGAUUUUCCGGAUGAGAAAAGCAGAAACCGCUUUAAGUCCAACAGUUUUUAACUGCUCAAACACAGUAUCUUACAAUGUAGCCUCAGCCUUCUCUCACACUGUAACCAUUAGGUGGUCCUGAUAGAUAAGCCAUAACUGACAGAGUACUAAUCUAUCUCCCUUGAUUUAAUGUGUAAGCUUGCAGUAUAUUCUAUUUAACACACACAAUAAUAAUACGAUCUUUACAUGACUAAGAGCUUAAUGGAAGUGAGUAUUAAGAGAAAUAUCUGACUAGCUGCUAAAUGCUCCUUUAUGCAAAAAUUGUUUGUUGCUCAGCUGGUGAUGCACAGUUGCUUUGUUAAAUGUUUUGGCUUUUUAUUUCUGCGGUUGUUUACUCCGGGUACUCCGGUUUCCUCCCACAGUCCAAAAAACAUGCAUGUUAGGUUGAUUGAUGACUCUAAAAUUGCCCGUAGGAGUGAGUGUGAGUGUGUGAGGUUGUCUGUCUUUGUGUGUCUAUAUGUGGCCCUGCGACAGACUGGUGACCUGUCCAGGGUGUACCCCUGCCUUCCACCCAAGAGAGAGCUGGGAUAGGCUCCAGCAGAUCCCCGUGACCCUGAACCAGGAAAAGCGGGUAUAGAAGAUGGAUGGAUGGAUUUCUGCGGUUGCUGCCGAAUGGACCCAGUGAAUUUCCAAAGCUAUAAUUACACUAAAUAUUAUUUGGACAUAUAACUGGAAUCCCGUGUAAAUGACAGGAUUGGAUUAUUUAUGUCUGGGUGUGUAGCUUCUUUUGUGGUACAAACACAUGCUCUGAAGACUUGCAGUAAACCACAGGGAGAAGAAUCCUGGGUCAACUAACUGUGACAGUGUUAAGAAAACUUCUCCACAUGGACAUGUGAGUUUCUUAAGACAAACUUAAAAAGAUUAGACUUUGAUUAAGGACAUGAUUUACAGUGGUAAUUAUCUGACACCGCUGUUCUAACUGCAAAACACAGUUAAAAUCAAAACAGUUUCUACAUGCACACAUUCCUUAAAUUUACAGUGAGGUUUCAUUUUAAUCACAGAGGAUUUUUGUUUCCAUCAAUGUGGUCACAACUGAAAAAAACUGUGGUGGUGUGUUGUUUUCUGUGCAGCUGUACAAUCGAAGUGAACACUAAGACAGUCCUGAAUCCCUGAAAUACAAAAGUACUCUGGUAUUAUUUUACUAAUCUGAACUGUAGAUUAGGUAGGGAUGGUAUUGUACAGUAAACAAUGGAAUUACAGAAAUGCUUGAAAGCACUGAGUGUGACGAAUGUUUAACGUUUAAGGGUUUUAAUUAGGAUAUAAUGAAAAGUUAAGACAUAAGAUUAACAAUCAGCUUAGAACAAAAGAGAAAUUAAACAGAAAAGUGAAAAUUGUAAAAAUCAAAAGGCACAAAAAAAAAAAAAAAAAAAAAGUGUGAUCAGUGAUACAGCAGAGAAAAAAAAUGGUGUUUUUCUAAAACUAAAAUGUCUUCCCCUACAUUACCCACAAUGCAACUGGACUUCUAAAAGUUCAGUCAGAUAAAUUAAUAGUAUUAUUAGGAGCUAAUGUAGUGCCAAGCAGAGAUAAGGAGCAGUCUACAGAGUGUAAAUGCACUAUUUUCUAAGUCCCCUAACUCUAAUUUAGUUUAUACACACAACUAUCUAUCUGUCUAUCAAACCCCCGACCACCGCUGCCUUCACCUAUCCACUACUACUAUGUCCAGUCAUUUAUCCAUUACAAGCAAGGCACCGGACCCCCAACUGCUCCGGGUGCCACAGCAUUGGCUGCCCACGGCCCCGGGUGUGUGUGCACGGUGUGUGUGUGUGUGUUCACUUGCUGUGUGUGUGCACUUGGGUUUGGGUUAAAAAGCAGAGCACAAACUCCGAGUAUGGGUCACCAUACUUGGCCAGUUAAGUCACUUUCACAAAAUAUUUUCGAUUACAGGUUGUAAUAUUUUCAUCCUCAAUGAAUGAUGUCGACCAGUUUAUAACACAUUAAUUAUGUUUAGUGUGAUGUACCAGAGUUUAUACAGCAAUAAAUAAUCUAAGCAACACAGGUAAUAAAAAAGUUUUGGCAGCUUGGUUAAAAAAAAAACAAAAAAAAAACAAACACCUUCUAAAAAAUAAUUUUUUUUCUCCAAUUAGUAGUUAAUUUUUUUCUCCAAUUAGUAGUUUCCUCAGUUGCUUGAAAUAUAUUUGUUUACAGUACUCUCAUGCCUUCAUUUCAUAUUCUCAAGUUUUCUAUUCAGACCCGUCUAGAAUUAUUUUUUGGCCUUCAGUGAGUUCACAUGCACUCUUAAUGCAGUAACUGUCUAUUUUUAAAUUCAGAGAAAACAGAAGUUAUUGUAUUCAGUCCCAAAAACCUCAGAAAUAGCUUUUCUAAAAUUACAGCUACUUUAGACGGCACAGCCCUGGCCUCAAGCACUACUGUGAAAAACCUUGGAGUUAUUUUUGUCCUGUCUCAAAAUGACACAGAAAAACUAGUCCAUGCAUUUGUUAGUUUGAGGCCAAAUUACUGUAACUCAUUACUAUCUGGAUGUCCCAGUAUCUCCAUAAAAAGCCUCCAGUUAAUUCAGAAUACUGCAGCCAAAGUCCUGACAGGAACUAGCAAGAGAGAUCAUAUUUCUCCUAUAUUAGCUCAUUGGCUUCCUGUAAAAUACAGAAUAGACUUUAAAGUCCUUUUUCUGACAUACAAAUAGACUGAUCAGUCUACAUCAGACAUAUUCAAGUGUUUAUUAACAGUGAUAAUGAAUUUUGGGUUUCUAUAAACUGCUAGGUAUAAUAAUCAAAAUUAAAAGAAAUAAACACUUGAAACAUAUCAGUCUGUGUGUAAUGAAUCACUUUCACUUUUUGAAAUGAAUCACUGAAAUAAACUUUACCAUAUUAUAAUUACUUAUUUAUUGAGAUGCAGCUGUAUAUGUUUCAAGCUCUCAGGUGCACAGUACCUAUAAUUAUUAAAUAGGGUGAAGGUCAUUUGCUAAUCUGCUGCAUGUACCGUAUGAUGUAUAGUAACCACAUUAUUAGUGUAUGGAAAAAAAUGUCAGUAACCUAAUUUCUUGUGAGUGUGUGUGUGUGCUAAAUAAUAAUCAGCAGUUAAUGCUAGCUGUGAAAACUUGAUAACUCAAGAACUGUUAUGGUUACAGCUGCCAGGAUAUAGAGAAAACACAGCAUGGUUAGACCACACCCUACCACUAGCACUGAAGUCAUUCAACCUCAACACCUUCAUACUGGUGUGGUCAUGAGCCAACCUAGGUAUAAACACUCCAAACUUAUAAUAAAAACUAAACAAUAUACAACACUUUAUA